rnacentral:rRNA from 1 species
UACGUAGGGUGCAAGCGUUAAUCGGAAUUACUGGGCGUAAAGGGUGCGUAGGUGGUAUUUUAAGUUAGCUGUGAAAUUCCUGGGCUUAACCUGGGGUGGUCAGCUAAGACUGGAAGACUAUGAGUAUAGGAGAGGGUAGUGGAAUUUCCGGUGUAGCGGUGAAAUGCGUAGAGAUCGGAAGGAACACCAGUGGCGAAGGCGGCUACCUGGCCUGAUACUGACACUGAGGCACGAAAGCGUGGGGAGCAAACAGG